rnacentral:rRNA from 1 species
GAGCUCGUAGGCGGUUUGUCGCGUCUGCUGUGAAAACUGGGGGCUCAACCCCCAGCCUGCAGUGGGUACGGGCAGACUAGAGUGCGGUAGGGGAGAUUGGAAUUCCUGGUGUAGCGGUGGAAUGCGCAGAUAUCAGGAGGAACACCGAUGGCGAAGGCAGAUCUCUGGGCCGUAACUGACGCUGAGGAGCGAAAGGGUGGGGAGCAAACAGGCUUAGAUACCCUGGUAGUCCACCCCGUAAACGUUGGGAACUAGUUGUGGGGUCCAUUCCACGGAUUCCGUGACGCAGCUAACGCAUUAAGUUCCCCGCCUGGGGAGUACGGCCGCAAGGCUAAAACUCAAAGGAAUUGACGGGGACCCGCACAAGCGGCGGAGCAUGCGGAUUAAUUCGAUGCAACGCGAAGAACCUUACCAAGGCUUGACAUAUACGAGAACGGGCCAGAAAUGGUCAACUCUUUGGACACUCGUAAACAGGUGGUGCAUGGUUGUCGUCAGCUCGUGUCGUGAGAUGUUGGGUUAAGUCCCGCAACGAGCGCAACCCUCGUUCUAUGUUGCCAGCACGUAAUGGUGGGAACUCAUGGGAUACUGCCGGGGUCAACUCGGAGGAAGGUGGGGAUGACGUCAAAUCAUCAUGCCCCUUAUGUCUUGGGCUUCACGCAUGCUACAAUGGCCGGUACAAAGGGCUGCAAUACCGUAAGGUGGAGCGAAUCCCAAAAAGCCGGUCCCAGUUCGGAUUGAGGUCUGCAACUCGACCUCAUGAA